rnacentral:lncRNA from 1 species
CACUAAGUCAACAUCAUUAGAAAUGCAAAAGGGGGAAAAUGGUAAUCUGGUGUAUUUAGUAAAAGGCCACAUUACUGUGAUAAUACUCACAAAUAACUAUGUAAAAAACAAGCUAUUUAGAAGAUAAAUCAAGAAGAAUUAAUGGAGAGAAUGAAGAAUUACAAGAGAAUGAGAACAUCUUUCUUCAGAAGUGAAAGAGAGAAUGCAUUUGGAAAAGAAAAUUUAAAAAAUCCGAGUCUAAAUCCAUUCAGACAAGUACAAGAUGCAAAUGAGAGAAAUAAGAAAUAUCAGAAAACAACAUUACUACAACAAUGUACAUGGAAAGAAAACAACAAAAAAUGAAAGUGAACAAUGUAUUUAAGACAACCGAGAUUGGGACUUGGAACUAUAGAUGGAUGGGUUGAAGCAUUUCUUUACCUGUCUGAAAAAGUCCAAGAAGGGGUAAAGAUUCUCCAGAAGGAAACCAUCCCUGGGUUGUGACCUCUUACAUUCACUCCAUAUUUACAAAGUGCUGGUCUUUACCAUAGAGGUAACCCAACAUAUAACAGGGACCCAACUGAUUAAAUAUCACCUGCACUUUGCCUGGCAUCCCCGUUAUCAGGAAAAGUAGAGAAAAUGAGUCAUACUGACAAUAAAAUUCUUGGGUUCAGACA